rnacentral:rRNA from 2 species
CUAUACAUGCAGUCGAGCGAACAGAAGGGAGCUUGCUCCCGGAUGUUAGCGGCGGACGGGUGAGUAACACGUGGGUAACCUGCCUGUAAGACUGGGAUAACUCCGGGAAACCGGAGCUAAUACCGGAUAGUUCCUUGAACCGCAUGGUUCAAGGAUGAAAGACGGUUUCGGCUGUCACUUACAGAUGGACCCGCGGCGCAUUAGCUAGUUGGUGGGGUAAUGGCUCACCAAGGCGACGAUGCGUAGCCGACCUGAGAGGGUGAUCGGCCACACUGGGACUGAGACACGGCCCAGACUCCUACGGGAGGCAGCAGUAGGGAAUCUUCCGCAAUGGACGAAAGUCUGACGGAGCAACGCCGCGUGAGUGAUGAAGGUUUUCGGAUCGUAAAGCUCUGUUGUUAGGGAAGAACAAGUGCGAGAGUAACUGCUCGCACCUUGACGGUACCUAACCAGAAAGCCACGGCUAACUACGUGCCAGCAGCCGCGGUAAUACGUAGGUGGCAAGCGUUGUCCGGAAUUAUUGGGCGUAAAGGGCUCGCAGGCGGUUUCUUAAGUCUGAUGUGAAAGCCCCCGGCUCAACCGGGGAGGGUCAUUGGAAACUGGGAAACUUGAGUGCAGAAGAGGAGAGUGGAAUUCCACGUGUAGCGGUGAAAUGCGUAGAGAUGUGGAGGAACACC